CCGUCUAGGUUUUCUCUCCUCAGCAUGCAUCCCGAUCCCGUGUGCCCAUUAUCUUCUUCCUCACCUCUUUCCCUUGACCUCUUCUUUCCUCUUCCUCUCCAAAAAAAAGAAGGUCAAGGAUCUUGGCAUCUCAAUUCUCAUGCCAUGGAUCGAGCCAUCUGGAUGGUUUCCCUCUACCGACCUGAAAGAUGGCACAUCUUUUCUGCAUGGCUUCGAGGCCUAUCGAAGCUCCGGCGGCCGCAGUCGAUGAUGACCAACACGGCGACGGCCAAACCUCUCUUCUUGAUUGGAUUUCUUGUUCCGCGGUGUCAAGAGGCCGGCUGAUACUAAUUCAACUUAUCCUCUUGUUCGGUAGGAUCUCCUAGCGGACGGCUCUAUGCAUACCUCGUGUCGUGUUCAUUGUGUAAACACAGAUCGAUCUGACCUGAUAAUUGGCUGCUUAUGCCCGGUGUUUACAUGAUCUCUUUCUUGUGGUUUCUAUGUUCUGGUUUGAUCUCUUACUGGAUCUGAAUCUCUUCGCCGUAUUGAAGAAAAACCGAUGCGCCUGAAGAUCCCGUACGUUUCUAAAGUGGGAACGGAACGGGAAGUCUGAACCUCCGCAUCUUGCGUACGUUUUCCGUCUUCUUCCUUGGGGCUCUCCGCGUGCAGAUCGAGUGUGAAUUCGACUGCUACUCCUUCUUUGUUGUUUGUAGAAUCGGUUCAGGGUUUCGGUGUCGAUCCAUAACCCUAUCUGCAGCCUUGGAUCUACCGGUGCAGUUAUCUGCUACAGCCUGUCUCUACACCGGUGCUACUUUUGAGAAGUUGCGACUUAUUCACUACUACUUUUCUCUGGGCAAUUGUCACAUCUAACUGCGGUAGGGAUUGCCUCGACAGGCAUUGACACGUUUUGGUAGAUUGUCUGUAGCAAUGAUAAAUUUUUCAGGCAGGAAUUCUCUACUGUAUUCAUUAGGAAGAAAGUUUUUCUUUUACAAAUGCCUGUUUUUGUUUGUGUGGACAAACAGGCAAAGACCUCUUAUAAGGUUAUGGAUCAUCGGGCAGAUCCUGUUUUCGGACUCGAUUUUAGUUGGGUGGGCUGGACUUAGUCACAGCGGUGACCUUGGUGUCUCGGCGAUGGAGACGCUCGUGGGUGCUGCAUUCCUCUUGAGGACGCUGUUGCGGUUCUCCUCCCAACACCAAAGCUUCGGGUGAAAACCAUCGUCUGUUCGGACUCGAUGGCGGCAUCGCUUUGCGUUAUCACCCUCCUGGGGGCGUUUUGAGGGAGUCCUAGCGCUGUUGGUCGGUUUGUGGCUAUGUGUUCAGGCCACCCUUGUUUUUCUCGAUUGUUUUUUGAUCUUGCUUUGUUUGGGGAGGCGAAAGCCUGUUUCGAGGAGAUUCUUGUGUUUUCCACUUCAAACAACUCUGUAUGGACAACAAACUACUGUUGCUUGAUGUCUUUGGUUGAUUCUGGUUCUGGGGUGUGCAGCCAUGACCUACUCAUGUAAUUGUCUUUGACUCUGCCCUUUACCUUCUUUUCCCUUUGCUGUUGUUUGUAGGAUUUGCUCUCUGAAUUUGCCUGUUAAUGGACGGAUUUUCUUGUUGAAUGGUGUACUACCUUUUCCAGAGCCAACCGAUGCUCUCUCGCUUGAAAAUAUAGCGUGAUGAACAUGUAAACACCUUCGCUCGAAAAAUAUUGGCUUGGUUGUGAAUUGAAUUUCCUCGGUAUUCUCUCCUGCUUUGUAGUGCAUUUUAUCUUUCGUGUUUGAUGACAAAAUCUACAUAUAUUUGCUUAUAGUUAUGUUUGAUAACGAUUCUUCUAUCCUACGUUUUCCAUUUCACUGUAAUGAACCAGCCUGUUUAUGUUCUGCAGCUCGAUGGCCAGCUAGUCUCCUCUCAUGAUGGAAUCACUGUUGAAUUUCCCUGUAGUAAUGCUAUGUGCUGAUUAAUCUCAAAUACUGUUAUGCUAUAAUUUUGUGUUAUGUCCAUUCAAGAGAGGCCUGACUUUGCUUGUUUGGAUAUUACAGGAGGGCAUUGAUAAAGGAAAAAAUUGAGAAAACUUGGAACUCGUGGUUCUUACAGGCUGAGGGAACCUGAUAAGUUCAAGGGCCAUUUGGAGUUUGCUCUAAAGUUAAAGUGGCUCGACAUUGAGAGCAUCCAGCAGUCCGUACACGGUGUGGUGAUCUGUGCUCCCAUGACUGCCUUCUGGGCUACAACUAAGCUGUGAGGAAUUUGAUCGCUACAGUGAUACUACUGGUGCUGUUCUUUUUUUAUUAUUCAAGACAAGUGACAAACCCAAUCAUUAAGAAGAAAGCAAAUCUUUACAAAUGCAUGUUCUUGUUUCUGUGGACAAAUGGGCAAAGACCUCUUCGCGACACACGGACUAGUCCUAAAAUGAGGAAAGACGGGCGAAUGCUAUACCUGGCGCCACUUGGUUGCUUCUCAGUCGACACACAAUUGAUUUUAGUCCCACAGGCAGAUUCCAGCCUAACCACCCAAAACGCCAGGAUCUCCUCGCCGCCGGCUGUGUACACCAUGUCCGAUUCAACCUUGUUUGCCCAUGUUUACUAUGUGGUGUUCAUCGUGUAAACACGGAUCGUUCAGAGCUGAUAAUGAACUGAUUAUGCCCGCUGCUAGAAUGAGGUCGGCAGCCAAUGACAAAGCUGAGGCUGAGAAGAUACUAAACAUGAAAAGAGCAGAAGGAGGAGAAGGUGAGUCCAGGUACUCGGCUAGUGUGGGCAUUGCAAGGCAGCGUCAGGCUAUCGUGGAUGGUCCGAGAGAUGUGUCCUCACUUUCUUGGAGAACGUCCCUGGUACCACUGCAAAGGACAUCAUGGGCAUGGUUCUGGUCACCCAAUACUUUGACACCAUCAAAGAGAUUGGCGCCGCAUCCAAUUCCUAUUCAGUUUUCAUCCCCCAUGGUCCUGGAGCUGUCAAGGAUGUUGUAUCGUAGAUAAUAGAUGGGCUCCUACAGGUCCACUGAAUAACUUGAACCCAGGAAACAAGCCUGCUACAACAAUCGCCAUAGCAGAUUCCAGACUAGACACCCAAAACGCAGAAAGAAAAUGCGGAAAUAAGAUUGAUAAUGCUGGAAGAUUUGCGCAGGUGACUUCAGUAGUGUUACUUAGUCUUCUACCUGUGAUCACAAGAAAAGGAACAACGUGGAUUUUAGUCCAUCUACCUUUGUGCUGACUAACUGUAACCUAGGAAACAACCAACGGACAUGGCAGAUACAAGAAAAGACCCAAAAUGACAAAUGAACUUUCUGAAGCCUUUGUAUUUCGUGUAAAUACAAUGUUUAACAAAUUAAGAAUCAUGGUUUUUUUAGAUAA